rnacentral:rRNA from 1 species
UAAAUUGUUCAUUAAUUGUGAACUGGAAUGAAGGAAAAAAUGGUUUAAAUCUGUCUUAAAUACUAUAUGUUAAAUUUAAAUUUUUUGUAAAAAUACAAAAAUUUCUUUUAGGGACAAGAAGACCCUAUAAAGCUUAACUGAUAUUAUAACAUAAUUUGUUAUUAAAAUCAAUUUGAUUGGGGCAAUAAUUUAUAAACAAUUAAUAUAAAUUUAAUUUAAAUAAUUAUAUAUUAAUAUAAUGAUCCAUUAAUAAUGAAAAAUGAUUAAGUUACUUUAGGGAUAACAGGAUAAUUUUUAUUUGAAAGUUCUUAUUAAUAAUAAAGUUUAUUACCUCGAUGUUGAAUUAAUUUAAUUAAAUGGUGAAGUAGCCAUUUUUAAUUUGACUGUUCGUCAAUUAAAUAAUUACAUGAUCUGAGUUC